rnacentral:rRNA from 1 species
GGGAUAUUGCACAAUGGGGGGAACCCUGAUGCAGCGACGCCGCGUGAAGGAUUGAAGUAUUUCGGUAUGUAAACUUCUAUCAGCAGGGAAGAUGAUGACGGUACCUGCAUAAGAAGCCCCGGCUAACUACGUGCCAGCAGCCGCGGUAAUACGUAGGGGGCAAGCGUUAUCCGGAUUUACUGGGUGUAAAGGGAGCGUAGACGGCCUGGCAAGUCUGAUGUGAAACCCUGGGGCUCAACCCCGGGACUGCAUUGGAAACUGUUAGGCUGGAGUGCCGGAGGGGUAAGCGGAAUUCCUAGUGUAGCGGUGAAAUGCGUAGAUAUUAGGAGGAACACCAGUGGCGAAGGCGGCUUACUGGACGGCAACUGACGUUAAGGCUCGAAGGCGUGGGGAGCAAACA